AGCAUAAUGAAAGCCGCUAAAUCACUCACAUUGUUAAGGGACAAUGCUGAGGAGAAGAAUAUAAGUUUGUUUGCAAGAAGCGCAACUCCCUCAAUAAAGACCACAACCAGCCCCCUUUAGGCUUCCUGGCAUUCUAAUGAGAAUAUGAAUAGUUAACAAUAUCAAAGAAAAUGCUUUAAAAAUACCACAACACAAAUCAUAGAGAAGAUUCAGUACAUCUGUGACCCAGGUUGAGGCCACAAUCAUUGGGUCUUACAUUUGAUGUGGCUGGGUGCAUCUGUUCAAAUGAUUAGAUAUAAAAAAAAUAUUGGCAUGUGGAAUUUCUUCCUUAAUAUUAUGCUUUACCAAAACUCAUGUCCCAUCAUGGAACAGAAGGAAUCAAUGCCUUCAUCACCUGCCCUCCAGAACUUGUCACUUCAUUUACACUGAAUCUUCCCAACCUCCUAAGUAACUGAACAAUUAGUUGACACACAUUUUUGAAACUCAGCUAGUUAGAUGAUUUCUGUUUGUACUCUUACUAAAUGUAUGGUUACCAGUGUUCAUAGAUGCCAACUGAUGACACCAUCUUCUACCAAUGCAAACAGACGCAACUUCAACUGAAAAAAACAACUGUUUAGAAUCUGCUACUACUCUUCUCUCAGAGAAAAGCUUGCUUGCUAUGAUGGCUAUUCUUGGCUGUCAACUUAACUACAUCUGGAACUAAGUAAAACCUAAAAGUGGAGGACACACCUGUGAGAGAUUCUUUCUUAAUUCAAAGUACGAAGAUUCACUUUUAAUCCACAUUCUUGAGGUCGUUUUCAUGGACAAUCUAAUUGAAAAGCAGACAAGCUUCCCCUUCAGCCUUGUUUCUCACCAACACAGCUGACUUCCCUUGUCAUCUGAGGAUAUGGCCAGAUGAAGAAAUAAGACACAUCUAUUUCCUAAGAAUGCUAAUUUUCCCAGCUAGGGGCAGAACAGGAGCCAGAAAAUUCCAAAUGCAAGUUGAUUCUACCAUAUAAAAUUCUGGAGCAAAACUGAAGAGUGGAAAGGGUGAGCAUGAGUGUGCCCCAAU
rnacentral:sRNA from 1 species